AAAAUCCGUCGACUUUAGAAAUCGUGAGGGUUCAAGUCCCUCUAUCCCCCCAAAAAGACCGAUUUGACUAUUUCUCCUACCCUCUCUUUUUUUUAGUGGUUCAAAAUUCGUUCUCUUUCUCAUUCAUUCUACCUUUUUACAAACGUAUCAGAGCAGAAUUUUUUUUUCUUUUAUCACAAUCACAAGUGGUGUGGUAUAUAUGAUAUACGUACAAAUGAACAUCUUUGAACAAAGAAUCCCGAUUCACAAUUCAUAUCAUUGCUCAUACUGAAACUUAUAAAUUAUUCUAUUCAAGAAAUCGAAUUCCACGCUCAAGACUUUUAAUACUUUUUUUAUCUUUUUUAAUUGACAUAGACCCCAGUCAUCUAGUAAAAUGAGGAUGAUGCGCCGGUAAUGGUCGGGAUAGCUCAGCUGGUAGAGCAGAGGACUGAAAAUCCUCGUGUCAC
rnacentral:tRNA from 1 species